CCUACGGGUGGCAGCAGUGAGGAAUAUUGGUCAAUGGGCGCGAGCCUGAACCAGCCAAGUCGCGUGAGGGAAGACGGUCCUAUGGAUUGUAAACCUCUUUUGUCGGGGAGCAAAAGACGCCACGCGUGGCGUUCCGAGAGUACCCGAAGAAAAAGCAUCGGCUAACUCCGUGCCAGCAGCCGCGGUAAUACGGAGGAUGCGAGCGUUAUCCGGAGUUAUUGGGUUUAACGGGUGCGCAGGCGGAAGAUCAAGUCAGCGGUAAAAUUGAGAGGCUCAACCUGUUCGAGCCGUUGAAACUGGUUUGCUAGAGGGAGCGAGAGGGAGGCGGAAUGUGUGGUGUAGCGGUGAAAUGCAUAGAUAUCACGCAGAACUCCGGUUGCGAAGGCAGCAGACCGGCGCUCAACUGACGCUCAUGCACGAAAGUGUGGGUAGCGAACAGGAUUAGAUACCCGGGUAGUC
rnacentral:rRNA from 1 species